CGGCCACAUUGGGACUGAGACACGGCCCAANACUCCUACGGGAGGCAGCAGUAGGGAAUCUUCCACAAUGGACGCAAGUCUGAUGGAGCAACGCCGCGUGAGUGAAGAAGGUUUUCGGAUCGUAAAGCUCUGUUGUUGGNUGAAGAAG
rnacentral:rRNA from 1 species